rnacentral:rRNA from 1 species
GACGAACGCUGGCGGCGCGCCUAACACAUGCAAGUCGAACGAGAGAUGAAGAGCUUGCUCUUCAAAUCGAGUGGCGAACGGGUGAGUAACGCGUGAGGAACCUGCCUCAAAGAGGGGGACAACAGUUGGAAACGACUGCUAAUACCGCAUAAGCCCACGGCUCGGCAUCGAGCAGAGGGAAAAGGAGCAAUCCGCUUUGAGAUGGCCUCGCGUCCGAUUAGCUAGUUGGUGAGGUAACGGCCCACCAAGGCGACGAUCGGUAGCCGGACUGAGAGGUUGAACGGCCACAUUGGGACUGAGAUACGGCCCAGACUCCUACGGGAGGCAGCAGUGGGGAAUAUUGGGCAAUGGGCGCAAGCCUGACCCAGCAACGCCGCGUGAAGGAAGAAGGCUUUCGGGUUGUAAACUUCUUUGUCAGGGACGAGAAGAAGACGGUACCUGACGAAUAAGCCACGGCUAACUACGUG